AAAGGCCACCUAAACUACCCUGCCCGAAACGACAAAAGGAAAAAGACCCAGAACCCCCGUCCCCCGACCUGAUCCGCUCCCCCAGUGCGCCGCCGCGACCGCCCCUUUCACCAGCGCGCCGUCGCGGCCUCUCCCUACCCCAGCGCGCCGCCGGUGCCUCCCCCAGCACGCCGUCGCGGCCUCCCCUCUCCUCCAGUGCGCAGCCCUGUCCCCACCUUCUCCCUCGGCUCCGGCCGCUGCCCCACACGUUCUCCCUCGGCUCCGGCCGCCGCCCCCACCUUCUCCCUCGCCUCCGGCCGCAGCCCCCACCUUCUCCCUCGGCUCCGGCCGCAGCCCCCACCUUCUCCCUCGGAUCCGGCCACCGCCCCGCACUCCAAUCACAGAUCGAGUCGUCGCCGUUGCCUUACCCUAGAUCGCACCGCCCAAAACCAUCUGUCGCCACCACGGCCACCCGAACGACGUCCUCACGCGCCGCCGCUAUCUCUCCUUGCUCCGCCGCCAGCCAAGCACCUCCUCACCUCCAUUGUUGUUCAGCACUUCCUCCAGUUCAUCCCAUGGCGGCUGCGCUCGUGGCCGAGCUCACUCCAAUCCCUCCACCACGCUACCUCCUUCCGCUGGUGAGGCUUCGUCGCUGCAACGCCCUGGCCAUUCACUGUCGCCAUCCCGGGCCGUUCAAUGAGACAGCGCCAAGUCGUUCGACACCGCAACUCAGGAGUCUGCCUCCUUUGACAGCUCCUGAUCUCCGGAACAACUAUGGCUCCCUGCUGGCACAACUUGCUCUCGACGACCUCCUUUGACAGCUUGCCUCUGAGGCCUACCAGACCCACACGACGACGCUAGCCGUCCACAGCCACCACCACAGGCCGUUCAACCCACCACUCAUGGCCGUUCUCAAAACCAUCCCAAAGUGUAGAUCGUACAUGAGGACAGGGCCGAGGCGGAGGCAGCAAAGAAAGAGCUAAGCGAUCCAGUAGAGUUUAUUGAUUGAAGAGGCAAGGAACAAAAUUUUCGGCCAACUUUUGCUUUGCUGAUAUAAAUCAAGCUCUGUUUUGUUGUUGAACAACAACAUGGUGUGCAUAGUAACAAGAAACACACGAACAUGAUCAGUAGAGAAGUUGGCCAACCCGCAGCCCUUGCUAGAGCAGUUGCCUCCACCCCCAUCCGUGAGUCCAGACCUAGCUAGUGUGAGCAUCAAAAUACAAAGCAUAGUACAUCAGGAAAAAGCCAUCGCCGCCUCCCUGCAGCGCCGCCUCCGUUCAGCGCGCCAGCCCCGCCUCCCCACACAUGGCUUGCGAAGAGUCGGCGGUGCCGCUGAAGACGACGGGGCAGUUCUACUUGUCCGUGAUGACCAGGACGACGUCACUAUCUGUGCUCGGCCAUAGCAUGGGGUUAGGCCGGAAUCCACCCCGUGACAGGUCAACGUCAGGGUCCACUGGGUUCCGUUCCUGAGAGAAGCAUCGCCGGCUGGGAGAGUUCAAUGAUCUGAACUAGGAAAGUUCAACGUGGAAAUUUGCUACAGAUUACAUUACUUGAGAAAUUUUCGUGUGUUUCACGUCAUCGUUGGCCCCAUGUUCGCUGGCAAGACCACGGCGCUACUCCACCGGCACUGGCAGUACGAGUUUCAAAGGCCAGGAAGUUCUACUGUUGGCAUACGCCAACUGAGCAUCGGUCGAAGAAGCCAAGGCACCUCGUGCUAGCUCUAGGCACCGCCAGAGGCCGUAACUGUUCUUCCACCGCUCCUGUGCACUCACCGUUGAGCCUCUCCAUGCACAGCUCUGGCAGCCCAACGUCACAACACAUAGUGGCCGGUGGUCCCUCCUCUCAGCUGCUCUAUGGCUUGCAGAGGCGUGAGAUUGCUAGAAGUUCAACAUGCGAAACCGUGCAUGUCCAUGCUCCUGCACCUCCAGGCAAACUCCAGUGAAGGUGUGACCAGUUUGGCCAUGGAUGAUCAACCAUUUGAGGAAAAUGGUACAGAUAUGUGAGAAAAAGAGAGAGCUUUCAUGGAGAAACAAAGAAGAUGUUGAUGAAUCAUUCAUGUGUCCAAGAGGGAGGUACAUGUUUUCUUUCCUGUACGUAUCUCCCAAACGUACAUUAGCUAGAGUGAGUGUUGGGAGAAAAUAAAUAAGUAUUCAGCCUUGUUUGACAAAGUGCAAGAACAAUGUUCUUUCAUUUGUGUUGAUGUAGUGUCCUUGAUUUUGUCUUGUCUUUUCAUCCUUGUUUGACAGAAUUGAAAGUUAAUCACAGGAAGGUAAGCAUCAGCAAUGAUGCCAGCAGCGGCCAGGAAUAAUGCCUCCAAUGCGCAAGCCCAGGAUGACGAUGCUGAUCACUAGCAGGAAGGACACCUGCAGGUUGAGGAUGAAGUACACAACGCAGGCAAUGAGGACGAACAAAACAUGGAAUCCGUACACAUAGCAGCAACUGCAAGUUCAAAUUUUCUGUGUAUGAUCCAGUUUCAAAAAAAAAAAAAUUCUGUGUAUGAUGAUAUGAUUGCUACUUCUCAAAAGAAAGUGUACAUGAUAGUUCA